UGCCACAGCCAUAUCACCCUGCAGCCCAAGACCGGUUACUCACUGAAGCUAAGCAGGGCUGAGCCUGGUCAGUACCUGGAUGGGAGACCACUAGGGAACACUAGGUUGUUGUCGGAA
rnacentral:rRNA from 1 species